rnacentral:rRNA from 1 species
UACGUAGGGUGCGAGCGUUAAUCGGAAUUACUGGGCGUAAAGCGUGCGCAGGCGGUCUGUUAAGACCGAUGUGAAAUCCCCGGGCUUAACCUGGGAACUGCAUUGGUGACUGGCAGGCUUUGAGUGUGGCAGAGGGAGGUAGAAUUCCACGUGUAGCAGUGAAAUGCGUAGAGAUGUGGAGGAAUACCGAGUGGCGAAGGCAGGCCUCCUGGGCCAACACUGACGCUCAUGCACGAAAGCGUGGGGAGCAAACAGG